UACGGAGGGUACGAGCGUUGUCCGGAAUCAUUGGGCGUAAAGGGUGCGUAGGCGGCGGGGAAAGUCUGAUGUGAAAUCCUGGGGCUCAACCCUGGAACUGCAUUGGAUACUUCCUUGCUAGAGUACUGGAGAGGAAACUGGAAUUUACGGUGUAGCAGUGAAAUGCGUAGAGAUCGUAAGGAAGACCAGUGGCGAAGGCGAGUUUCUGGACAGUUACUGACGCUGAGGCACGAAGGCCAGGGGAGCAAACGGG
rnacentral:rRNA from 1 species